UUGGUUGUGUGGUGUGACGUCACAGGGCUGCGCCGCGCUCCCGCAUCUGAUGUGAUUCGGAGGAAGAAAGAGAGGCUCCUGUUGAAGAGACUGAGACACACACUGUUAUAAAGAUGGAGUUUAUUAAAGAGGAGAGAGAAGAGAUGAAGAUUGAAGACACAUUCAGAGUCAAAUAUGAAGAUACUGAGACACACACAGACAUGAUGCCGCUGAAAGAGGAAAAUGAAGAACUAAAUGUAAUGCAAGAUACAGAUCAGUAUAAGAAACAUGAUUUCAUAACUGGACAAACAUCAUUUAGUUGCCCACAGACUGGAAAGACUCGCUCACAAAAAAAAGCUCAAAAGACUGGAACUAGAAACAAUUUCACCUGCCAAGAGUGUGGACAGAGUUUCGAUCAACAAGGAAUCCUUAAAAUCCACAUGAGGAUUCACACUGGAGAGAGGCCUUACAUCUGCAAAC